UACGUAGGGUGCGAGCGUUGUCCGGAAUUAUUGGGCGUAAAGGGCUCGUAGGCGGUUUGUCGCGUCGGGAGUGAAAACUCAGGGCUUAACCCUGAGCCUGCUUCCGAUACGGGCAGACUAGAGGUAUGCAGGGGAGAACGGAAUUCCUGGUGUAGCGGUGAAAUGCGCAGAUAUCAGGAGGAACACCGGUGGCGAAGGCGGUUCUCUGGGCCUUACCUGACGCUGAGGAGCGAAAGCGUGGGUAGCGAACAGG
rnacentral:rRNA from 1 species